GGGUUGUGAGGUUAAGCGACUAAGCGUACACGGUGGAUGCCCUGGCAGUCAGAGGCGAUGAAGGACGUGCUAAUCUGCGAUAAGCGUCGGUAAGGUGAUAUGAACCGUUAUAACCGGCGAUUUCCGAAUGGGGAAACCCAGUGUGAUUCGUCACACUAUCAUUAACUGAAUUCAUAGGUUAAUGAGGCGAACCGGGGGAACUGAAACAUCUAAGUACCCCGAGGAAAAGAAAUCAACCGAGAUUCCCCCAGUAGCGGCGAGCGAACGGGGAGCAGCCCAGAGCCUGAAUCAGUGUAUGUGUUAGUGGAAGCGUCUGGAAAGGCGCGCGAUACAGGGUGACAGCCCCGUAC
rnacentral:rRNA from 1 species